GAUGAAGAACGUAGUGAAAUGCGAUAAGUAAUGUGAAUUGCAGAAUUCAGUGAAUCAUCGAAUCUUUGAACGCACAUUGCGCCCGUCAGUAUUCUGGCGGGCAUGCCUGUUCGAGCGUCAUUACGCCCCUCAAGUCCCCUGUGGACUUGGUGUUGGGGAUCGGCGAGGCUGGUUUUCCAGCACAGCCGUCCCUUAAAUUAAUUGGCGGUCUCGCCGUGGCCCUCCUCUGCGCAGUAGUAAAACACUCGCAACAGGAGCCCGGCGCGGUCCACUGCCGUAAAACCCCCCAACUUUUUAUAGUUGACCUCGAAUCAGGUAGGACUACCCGCUGAACUUAAGCAUAUCAAUACGCGGAGGA
rnacentral:misc_RNA from 1 species